UCCGCCCGCUGGCGGCGUGCUUAACACAUGCAAGUCGAGCGGUAAGGCUCCUUCGGGAGUACACGAGCGGCGAACGGGUGAGUAACACGUGAGUAAUCUGCCCUUCACUUCGGGAUAACCACCGGAAACGGUGGCUAAUACCGAAUACGACCAGUCUUCGCAUGAGGUGCUGGUGGAAAGUCUUUUCGGUGAAGGAUGUGCUCGCGGCCUAUCAGCUUGUUGGUGGGGUAAUGGCCUACCAAGGCUUCGACGGGUAGCCGGCCUGAGAGGGUGACCGGCCACACUGGGACUGAGACACGGCCCAGACUCCUACGGGAGGCAGCAGUGGGGAAUAUUGGACAAUGGGCGAAAGCCUGAUCCAGCAACGCCGCGUGAGGGAUGACGGCCUUCGGGUUGUAAACCUCUUUCAGUACCGACGAAGCGCCCUGUCGGGUGGUGACGGUAGGUACAGAAGAAGGACCGGCCAACUACGUG
rnacentral:rRNA from 1 species